rnacentral:rRNA from 1 species
AUUGAACGCUGGCGGCAUGCUUUACACAUGCAAGUCGAACGGUAACAGGCCGCAAGGUGCUGACGAGUGGCGAACGGGUGAGUAAUGCAUCGGAACGUGCCCAGUCGUGGGGGAUAACGCAGCGAAAGCUGUGCUAAUACCGCAUACGAUCUAUGGAUGAAAGCGGGGGACCGUAAGGCCUCGCGCGAUUGGAGCGGCCGGUGUCAGAUUAGGUAGUUGGUGGGGUAAAGGCCCACCAAGCCAACGAUCUGUAGCUGGUCUGAGAGGACGACCAGCCACACUGGGACUGAGACACGGCCCAGACUCCUACGGGAGGCAGCAGUGGGGAAUUUUGGACAAUGGGCGCAAGCCUGAUCCAGCAAUGCCGCGUGCAGGAAGAAGGCCUUCGGGUUGUAAACUGCUUUUGUACGGAACGAAACGGUCUGGGUUAAUACCCUGGGCUAAUGACGGUACCGUAAGAAUAAGCACCGGCUAACUACGUGCCAGCAGCAGCCGCAGUAA